rnacentral:rRNA from 1 species
GCGAACGGGUGAGUAACACGUGAGCAACCUGCCCCAGGCUUUGGGAUAACCCCGGGAAACCGGGGCUAAUACCGAAUAUGACCUCUGACCGCAUGGUUGGUGGUGGAAAGUUUUUCGGCUUGGGAUGGGCUCGCGGCCUAUCAGCUUGUUGGUGGGGUGAUGGCCUACCAAGGCGACGACGGGUAGCCGGCCUGAGAGGGCGACCGGCCACACUGGGACUGAGACACGGCCCAGACUCCUACGGGAGGCAGCAGUGGGGAAUAUUGCACAAUGGGCGGAAGCCUGAUGCAGCGACGCCGCGUGAGGGAUGACGGCCUUCGGGUUGUAAACCUCUUUCAGCAGGGACGAAGCGUAAGUGACGGUACCUGCAGAAGAAGCGCCGGCCAACUACGUGCCAGCAGCCGCGGUAAGACGUAGGGCGCGAGCGUUGUCCGGAUUUAUUGGGCGUAAAGAGCUCGUAGGCGGCUUGUCGCGUCGACCGUGAAAACUUGGGGCUCAACCCCAAGCCUGCGGUCGAUACGGGCAGGCUAGAGUUCGGUAGGGGAGACUGGAAUUCCUGGUGUAGCGGUGAAAUGCGCAGAUAUCAGGAGGAACACCGGUGGCGAAGGCGGGUCUCUGGGCCGAUACUGACGCUGAGGAGCGAAAGCGUGGGGAGCGAACAGGAUUAGAUACCCUGGUAG